GAGAGCGUAGCUCAGCUGGUAGAGCAACUGACUUUUAAUCAGUAGGUCUCGGGUUCGAACCCCGACGCUCUCA
rfam:Rhizobium tibeticum isolate CCBAT85039 genome assembly, contig: CCBAT85039_contig13